rnacentral:rRNA from 1 species
UCGCCUGUUUAUCAAAAACAUAGCCUGAAGAAUUUAUUUUAGGUGAAGCCUGCCCAGUGCUAGGAAGUAAACGGCCGCAGUACCUUGACUGUGCUAAGGUAGCAUAAUCAGUUGGCUUUUAAAUGGAGUCGGGAAUGAAUGGAUUAAUAGGGUGAAGCUGUCUCUCUUGUAAUUAACUGAAUUUACUUAUUAGGUGAAAAUGCCUAAAAAAUAGAAAAAAGACGAGAAGACCCUAGGAGUUUUUACUAUUUAUUAUUUAAAUAAUAAGCGUUUUUGUUGGGGCGACAUGGAAGCAGUAUUUGAACCUUCCUUCUUAAUAUGCCGACUUAGUAUGUAUAAUUAAACUACCCUAGGGAUAACAGCGUAAUUCUUUUAGAGCUUGCGACCUCGAUGUUGGACUAGGAAUUUGGUAGGUUAGCCGCCUAUUUAUAUUGUUCUGUUCGAACUAUUUUUCCU